GUAAAAAAAAAAAAAAAAUCAAUGCAUUUAAGAUAGGAAAACUCAAGAGAAAAAAGCACAAAUACAACAAAAAACUGCUAUAAAAAUACCCUCUAAAAAAAGGAACCAAAACAUAAAAGAAACAAGCACGGAUGCAAUGAAAAAAAAAAUAGCAUCUAAAACAUCAAUAAUUAAAGGAAUAUGAACAACGAAAGAGCACACUCGAGGCUCAAGGCAGGAAGUGAUGCAAGACAAAAAAAGGGCAAGAAAGAGGGGGGGAAAAUAGUAGACGUUAAAGGAAGUAAAGGCCAAAGGAAUAUGAACAACGAAUGAGCACACUCGAGACUCAAAGUAGGAAGUGACGCAAGACAAAAAAG
rnacentral:misc_RNA from 1 species